UACGUAGGUGGCAAGCGUUAUCCGGAUUUACUGGGUGUAAAGGGCGUGUAGGCGGGACUGCAAGUCAGAUGUGAAACCCAUGGGCUCAACCCAUGGCCUGCAUUUGAAACUGUAGUUCUUGAGUGGUGGAGAGGCAGGCGGAAUUCCGUGUGUGGCGGUGAAAUGCGUAGAUAUACGGAGGAACACCAGUGGCGAAGGCGGCCUGCUGGACAUUAACUGACGCUGAGGCGCGAAAGCGUGGGGAGCAAACAGG
rnacentral:rRNA from 1 species